GACAGAGGCCUCGAGCGUUAGGCGGAAUCACUGGGCUUAAAGCGUGUGUGGGCGGGCCCGUAAGUGUCUUGUGAAAUCCCACGGCUCAACCGUGGAACUGCUGGGCAUACUGCGGGUCUUGGGCCAACUAGGGGCAGCCGGAGCAAGCGGUGGAGCGGUGAAAUGCGUAGAUAUCGCUUGGAACGCCGAAGGUGAAAACAGGCUGCUGGGGUUGCGCCGACGCUGAGACACGAAAGCCAGGGGAGCAAACGGG
rnacentral:rRNA from 1 species